UCGAGAGCGAUCGCGAAUUCGAGAAGUCGUCACCGCGGUCUCUUGUCCAUUCGCUGAUAGAGAGGACCGGUUUCGAAAACGACCUUCCCAGAGAGCAAGCAUAAAGCACGACGGUUCGCCCUUUCCACCGAGAGAAAAACAAUGUAUAAUUUCGAGAUUUUGCCAACGACGAUGCUUGACGGACACGAGCAAGGUAAAAGAGAAGAGAGAAGAACCCGUGGCAACGGCAGUUGCUUGGAUCGGAAAGAGAGGACGAGUCAGCUGGAUUGCGUGGAAAACGGAAAAAUUCUAGCCAGCGGAGAAGAAAAGCAGAAGCACGCACGAUGACGAUGGUAGUCAAGAGGUCACGAAUGGCACGCACGUUUCUCCAUGAUCAUUGCUGACAUAUCCCGCUGACAUAUCUCGAUUCCUUUCUAUUUUCUACCGAUACACAGAAAGACGCACAGAACAGGAGACAAGAUCGUGUGUAGAAGAUAAACUUUCAAAGGUAUAGUAGUAAAGGAAAGUGCGUUACAUUCGAUCUACUCAAAAGUUAUAUUAUGUAAGCUGUUACGAAAUUGUGACCAAAUAUUUUUAAUUGAUUGAAAAAGAAAAGAAAAGAAAAAGCAACACAAAAACGAUGCAUAGGACAUUUUCACUAAAUAGUGUGACAUUUGUCUUACACGUUGAAACGUAACUUUUUGUACUUGCUCGAUUAACCUAUAUACGAGGAUGGGGAAACAGAUUUGUUCUACAGGUCUUUGCAGAAGCAACGAGGAACUGGCAAGCACGAUGCUGCCCUUGCAUUCAAGGUAAGGCAAUACAAAUACGUAACGUUGCGAUAUCACGGUGAAGCGACGAAAACAUACGGUUGCAACUGCAACUUCGACACGCAUUGCUUCGAACGGAAAGUAGAGGAAUUUGUAAAUAAAAAAAAAGUGAUGGAAAGAGAAACAAAGAAAAAGAUAGAGAUACACGGAAGGUUGCAGAGACGCUGAAGUGGGAC